AGAUGCCAGGGUCAUAAGUUCAUAAACCACGUUGUGCUUGCACAUAAGUGGUUUUAUGCCUUUAUGACCCACCCAAAAAUGAGAAUAAAAGCGGGGGUAUACCCUGCGAUAUUCGAAUUUUGGACAGAAUUGUGAAAGUGCGCAGCACGAAACAAUUCGUCUGGCAUCU
rfam:Firmicutes bacterium CAG:646 genomic scaffold, scf54